CGUUCUUAGUUUUUCACACAGUGCAUUUUUAGGAUCAGUGUAUUGUGGAAACGGCGAUGGCUUUUCAGACGAUUUUCGUAUUUGUGGCUGCAGUUUGUCUCGUUUUAUCAGUUAAUGCAGCAGUCACUAUUGGUACAACUACCUGUACCCUGGCGGGAACUACGUGUACUGAUGGCAGCUAUUGCGACGCCGUGACACUGA